GACGAACGCUGGCGGCGUGCUUAACACAUGCAAGUCACGGGGGUCCCGCAAGGGAUAACCGGCGAACGGGUGCGUAACACGUGAACAACCUGCCCUCGUGUGGGGGAUAGCCGGGCUAACGCCCGGGUAAUACCGCAUACGGUCCUCUGGGGGAGUCCCUGGGGGAAGAAAGCUCCGGCGCACGGGGAGGGGUUCGCGGCCUAUCAGCUAGUUGGUGCGGUAACGGCGCACCAAGGCGACGACGGGUAGCUGGUCUGAGAGGAUGGCCAGCCACAUUGGGACUGAGAGACGGCCCAGACUCCUACGGGAGGCAGCAGUGGGGAAUCUUGCGCAAUGGCCGAAAGGCUGACGCAGCGACGCCGCGUGUGGGAGGACGCC
rnacentral:rRNA from 1 species